GAGAAUGAAAAGAAAAGGGGAGAAGAAUGCAGACGAAAAUUCAAUGUAUAUCCUACACAAUUAAGAGAAGUAAGGGAAGGUGGGGGGGUGGGGAGUGAUGGGUGAGAAUGUUGAGAGGGGUGACAUUGCUCAAGGCACAUUAUAUUC